rnacentral:rRNA from 1 species
UUAAGCGACUAAGCGUACACGGUGGAUGCCCUGGCAGUCAGAGGCGAUGAAGGACGUGCUAAUCUGCGAUAAGCGCCGGUAAGGUGAUAUGAACCGUUAUAACCGGCGAUUUCCGAAUGGGGAAACCCAGUGUGACUCGUCACACUAUCAUUAACUGAAUCCAUAGGUUAAUGAGGCGAACCGGGGGAACUGAAACAUCUAAGUACCCCGAGGAAAAGAAAUCAACCGAGAUUCCCCCAGUAGCGGCGAGCGAACGGGGAGGAGCCCAGAGCCUGAAUCAGCAUGUGUGUUAGUGGAAGCGUCUGGAAAGGCGCGCGAUACAGGGUGACAGCCCCGUACACAAAAGCGCAUGUGCUGUGAGCUCGAUGAGUAGGGCGGGACACGUGGUAUCCUGUCUGAAUAUGGGGGGACCAUCCUCCAAGGCUAAAUACUCCUGACUGACCGAUAGUGAACCAGUACCGUGAGGGAAAGGCGAAAAGAACCCCGGCGAGGGGAGUGAAAAAGAACCUGAAACCGUGUACGUACAAGCAGUGGGAGCACCCUUUGGGGUGUGACUGCGUACCUUUUGUAUAAUGGGUCAGCGACUUAUAUUCUGUAGCAAGGUUAACCGAAUAGGGGAGCCGGAGGGAAACCGAGUCUUAAUUGGGCGUUAAGUUGCAGGGUAUAGACCCGAAACCCGGUGAUCUAGCCAUGGGCAGGUUGAAGGUUGGGUAACACUAACUGGAGGACCGAACCGACUAAUGUUGAAAAAUUAGCGGAUGACCUGUGGCUGGGGGUGAAAGGCCAAUCAAACCGGGAGAUAGCUGGUUCUCCCCGAAAGCUAUUUAGGUAGCGCCUCGUGAAUUCAUCUCCGGGGGUAGAGCACUGUUUCGGCUAGGGGGCCAUCCCGGCUUACCAACCCGAUGCAAACUGCGAAUACCGGAGAAUGUUAUCACGGGAGACACACGGCGGGUGCUAACGUCCGUCGUGAAGAGGGAAACAACCCAGACCGCCAGCUAAGGUCCCAAAGUCAUGGUUAAGUGGGAAACGAUGUGGGAAGGCCCAGACAGCCAGGAUGUUGGCUUAGAAGCAGCCAUCAUUUAAAGAAAGCGUAAUAGCUCACUGGUCGAGUCGGCCUGCGCGGAAGAUGUAACGGGGCUAAACCAUGCACCGAAGCUGCGGCAGCGACACUAUGUGUUGUUGGGUAGGGGAGCGUUCUGUAAGCCUGUGAAGGUGUGCUGUGAGGCAUGCUGGAGGUAUCAGAAGUGCGAAUGCUGACAUAAGUAACGAUAAAGCGGGUGAAAAGCCCGCUCGCCGGAAGACCAAGGGUUCCUGUCCAACGUUAAUCGGGGCAGGGUGAGUCGACCCCUAAGGCGAGGCCGAAAGGCGUAGUCGAUGGGAAACGGGUUAAUAUUCCCGUACUUGGUGUUACUGCGAAGGGGGGACGGAGAAGGCUAUGUUGGCCGGGCGACGGUUGUCCCGGUUUAAGCGUGUAGGCUGGUUUUCCAGGCAAAUCCGGAAAAUCAAGGCUGAGGCGUGAUGACGAGGCACUACGGUGCUGAAGCAACAAAUGCCCUGCUUCCAGGAAAAGCCUCUAAGCAUCAGGUAACAUCAAAUCGUACCCCAAACCGACACAGGUGGUCAGGUAGAGAAUACCAAGGCGCUUGAGAGAACUCGGGUGAAGGAACUAGGCAAAAUGGUGCCGUAACUUCGGGAGAAGGCACGCUGACACGUAGGUGAAGUGAUUUACUCAUGGAGCUGAAGUCAGUCGAAGAUACCAGCUGGCUGCAACUGUUUAUUAAAAACACAGCACUGUGCAAACACGAAAGUGGACGUAUACGGUGUGACGCCUGCCCGGUGCCGGAAGGUUAAUUGAUGGGGUCAGCGCAAGCGAAGCUCCUGAUCGAAGCCCCGGUAAACGGCGGCCGUAACUAUAACGGUCCUAAGGUAGCGAAAUUCCUUGUCGGGUAAGUUCCGACCUGCACGAAUGGCGUAAUGAUGGCCAGGCUGUCUCCACCCGAGACUCAGUGAAAUUGAACUCGCUGUGAAGAUGCAGUGUACCCGCGGCAAGACGGAAAGACCCCGUGAACCUUUACUAUAGCUUGACACUGAACAUUGAGCCUUGAUGUGUAGGAUAGGUGGGAGGCUUUGAAGCGUGGACGCCAGUCUGCGUGGAGCCGACCUUGAAAUACCACCCUUUAAUGUUUGAUGUUCUAACGUGGACCCGUGAUCCGGGUUGCGGACAGUGUCUGGUGGGUAGUUUGACUGGGGCGGUCUCCUCCUAAAGAGUAACGGAGGAGCACGAAGGUUGGCUAAUCCUGGUCGGACAUCAGGAGGUUAGUGCAAUGGCAUAAGCCAGCUUGACUGCGAGCGUGACGGCGCGAGCAGGUGCGAAAGCAGGUCAUAGUGAUCCGGUGGUUCUGAAUGGAAGGGCCAUCGCUCAACGGAUAAAAGGUACUCCGGGGAUAACAGGCUGAUACCGCCCAAGAGUUCAUAUCGACGGCGGUGUUUGGCACCUCGAUGUCGGCUCAUCACAUCCUGGGGCUGAAGUAGGUCCCAAGGGUAUGGCUGUUCGCCAUUUAAAGUGGUACGCGAGCUGGGUUUAGAACGUCGUGAGACAGUUCGGUCCCUAUCUGCCGUGGGCGCUGGAGAACUGAGGGGGGCUGCUCCUAGUACGAGAGGACCGGAGUGGACGCAUCACUGGUGUUCGGGUUGUCAUGCCAAUGGCACUGCCCGGUAGCUAAAUGCGGAAGAGAUAAGUGCUGAAAGCAUCUAAGCACGAAACUUGCCCCGAGAUGAGUUCUCCCUGAGACUUAGAGUCUCCUGAAGGAACGUUGAAGACGACGACGUUGAUAGGCCGGGUGUGUAAGCGCAGCGAUGCGUUGAGCUAACCGGUACUAAUGAACCGUGAGGCUUAACCUU